GAAAGGGGGGGGGAGGGGUGGGUGUGAGUACGGAGGGGGUGAGAGGUAAUCGGAACUACGGGGCGUAAAGGGGGCGCAGGGGGAAGAGCAAGUGGAGUGUGAAAGCCCCGGGCUUAACUUGGGAAUUGCGCUCGAAACUACUGUGCUGGAGUGUGGCAGAGGAAGGUGGAAUUCCACGUGUAGCGGUGAAAUGCGUAGAGAUGUGGAGGAACACCAAUGGCGAAGGCAGCCUUCUGGGCCAACACUGACGCUCAUGCACGAAAGCGUGGGGAGCAAACAGGAUUAGAUACCCGAGUAGUC
rnacentral:rRNA from 1 species